rnacentral:rRNA from 1 species
UCCAGACUCCUACGGGAGGCAGCAGUGGGGGAUAUUGCACAAUGGGGGGAACCCUGAUGCAGCGACGCCGCGUGGGUGAAGGAGUGCUUCGGCAUGUAAAGCCCUAUCGGCAGGGAAGAAGCAAGACGGUACCUGACUAAGAAGCCCCGGCUAACUACGUGCCAGCAGCCGCGGUAAUACGUAGGGGGCGAGCGUUAUCCGGAUUCACUGGGUGUAAAGGGAGCGCAGACGGCAGUGCAAGUCUGGAGUGAAAGCCCGGGGCCCAACCCCGGAACUGCUCUGGAAACUGUGCGGCUAGAGUACUGGAGGGGCAGGCGGAAUUCCUAGUGUAGCGGUGAAAUGCGUAGAUAUUAGGAGGAACACCAGUGGCGAAGGCGGCCUGCUGGACUGCAACUGACGUUGAGGCUCGAAGGCGUGGGGAGCAAACAGGAUUAGAUACCCUAGUA